rnacentral:tRNA from 1 species
GUAUGUAGCUCAGGGGUAUAGCACUUGCCUGGCAUACAAGAGGCCCUGGGUUCCAUCUCCAGCACCACU